rnacentral:rRNA from 1 species
GACGAACGCUGGCGGCGUGCUUAACACAUGCAAGUCGAGCGGAGCGGCGCACGGGUGAGUAACGCGUGAGUAACUGCCCCCCUCUCUGGGAUCACAGUUGGAAACGGCUGCUAAUACCGGAUAGUGGGGGAUGACUCGGGUCCUAUCAGCUUGUUGUUGGGGUAGUGGCCUACCAAGGCGACGACGGGUAGACGGCUUGAGAGGGCGACCGGCUACAUGGGGCUGGGAUACGGCCCAAAGGCCUACGGGAGGCAGUAGUGGGGAAUAUUGCAAAGUGGGGGAAGCCCUGAUGCAGCAACGCUCGUGCGGAAUGACGGCCUUCGGGUUGUAAACCGCUUUCAGCGAUGACGCGGUAGUGGCAGAAGAAGCACCGGCUAACUACAUGCCAGCAGCCGCGGUAAUAC